rnacentral:rRNA from 1 species
AUUGAACGCUGGCGGCAGGCUUAACACAUGCAAGUCGAGCGGAGAUGAGGUGCUUGCACCUUAUCUUAGCGGCGGACGGGUGAGUAAUGCUUAGGAAUCUGCCUAUUAGUGGGGGACAACAUUCCGAAAGGAAUGCUAAUACCGCAUACGCCCUACGGGGGAAAGCAGGGGAUCUUCGGACCUUGCGCGAAUAGAUGAGCCUAAGUCGGAUUAGAUAGUUGGUGGGGUAAAGGCCUACCAAGGCGACGAUCUGUAGCGGGUCUGAGGGGAUGAUCCGCCACACUGGGACUGAGACACGGCCCAGACUCCUACGGGAGGCAGCAGUGGGGAAUAUUGGACAAUGGGCGGAAGCCUGAUCCAGCCAUGCCGCGUGUGUGAAGAAGGCCUUUUGGUUGUAAAGCCCUUUAAGCGAGGAGGAGGCUACCUGGAUUAAUACUCUAGGAUAGUGGACGUUACUCGCAGAAUAAGCACCGGCUAACUCUGUGCCAGCCGCCGCAGUAAAAC